GAACUGAAGAGUUUGAUCCUGGCUCAGAUUGAACGCUAGCGGGAUGCCUUACACAUGCAAGUCGAACGGCAGCAUCAGAGAGCUUGCUCUCUGGAUGGCGAGUGGCGAACGGGUGAGUAAUGUAUCGGAACGUGCCCAGGUAGACGGGGGAUAACAUACCGC
rnacentral:ncRNA from 1 species